CUGGUAUUCCUAUAGUUGAGGAACCGAAAUAUGGCCCCGCAAAGCCCAUACGUUUUCCGCCACAACAAAUCAAAUUUUACAUUUACGACACUUCGCUUUACAUGUUCAUUGAAACAUCUGGCAUUCACGGCAUACCUUUGGUACACGAUGACAAUUCCAUAUUUGUCAAUAAAACAGUCGAAAUAUCGUUCAAUCCAUUCUCUACAAAAGCAGCAUUGUUUGGAAAGGACGGUACGUCCUACCUGCGCAUAGAUGGUCAAAUAAUUCGCAUAUCGGACGAGUCAGCGUGCACGUGGUUCGAGUGUCAAAUGAAUAGCACAGACAAUAUCUUCAAGGUCUACGGCAAGUAUUAUCUGUUACACUUAACAUAUUAUUUGAAAUGUAUGGCGUUCUUUUCAAAUAGAUGAAAUGAUAAGCAUGUACUUAGAUGGUUACAUGCACAAUUAUCCGUUGUUUUACUCGUUUGAGCACAACGUACUCAAGAUGAGCUUUAAUGAACGCCUUUUGUACGCCUUGAAUUUUGCGCUUUUGAAGCGUCAGCAUUUACCUUGUUAUUGGACACAGCUAGUGUCCGAUCUUCAUACAACUUAGUCGGAUGAUUUUCCCUAAUAGUAUAUUGGCCGUUUUCGACACUAUGUCAUGUGAGGUAAAAUACUAGGUCACAGGGUCAAAUCUGAGGGGAAAAAAUCACCCUAUAAGUCAUAUUCACAGUCUAAUCUUCGUGAAACUUGGUCUGAA